rnacentral:lncRNA from 1 species
ACUACACUAUUGCACACACAACCCGCCGCCGGACCUGGGCCGCAUAGGAUCAUCUAGGAUGGUAUUGAGAUGGAUACCACUUCGACCGCAUGCCCGCGGUACGAGUCGCCCAUCUCAAUCUCGAAGUUUCUUUUCUGGCGUCAGGAGUACCUACCUCGGUUCGCAUGCCCGCAACCCAGGUCGGCUCUUUGACCAAGCCGAAGUCAUGAGGACCCGACUUAGUUCGCACGCCCGCGGCUAGUCUGAUCAUUCUUGUGGCUUCACUUUGUUAAGCCUUAUAGAUUAGAAAUCGAGCCACUUACCAUGCGCAUGUCUAUGUGAUUGCCCUUUGUUUAUUGGUAAAGUAAGUCUUCUAAAUUCGCACUCUUGCAAUCUACUUACUUUAUUAUAUCAUUUUG